rnacentral:rRNA from 1 species
CAUUAGAUACCCGCGGUAGUCCCAGCCCUAAACGAUGCGCGUUAGGUGUAUCGGUGACCACGAGUCACCGAGGUGCCGAAGGAACCGUGAAACGUGCCGCCUGGGAAGUACGGUCGCAAGGCUGAAACUUAAAGGAAUUGCGGGGGAGCACCACAACGGGUGGAGCCUGCGGUUUAAUUGGACUCAACGCCGGGAAGCUCACCGGAUAAGACAGCGGAAUGAUUGCCGGGCUGAAGACCCUGCAUGACCAGCUG